rnacentral:rRNA from 1 species
GAAUUUUAUAUAAAUUUAUUAAGUAGGUUAAAAAUAAAUUAUUGAUAGGUUUAUAUUUUAUUGGGAGGAUAAUUAAAUUAAAGAAACUUUAGUAGUAAAAAUUCAUUGAUUUAUGAAUUAGAGAGUGACUUUUGAGUUUAAGUAGAAUUAAUUACCUUGGGGAUAACAGCGUAAUAUCUUUAGAGAGAUCUUAUUAAUAAAGAUGAUUGC